UACAUAAAAAAAAUUUUUGCCGAUAUCCCUUCCAAAGUGUUUAUAUAUAUCGAAGGAACGAUGCGGAGGUGAAACAACCAAAGCAUCACAAUCGUAAUUAAGUAAUAAGCGUCCAUUCUCUCCAGACUGCCAACAGCUUUUAAACUCUACUUCGAAACAGAUUAACGAUUCGAAAAAAAGGCAACAAAAGUCUACGAUAAAAAUUCCCGGCAUCUCAUCUAUCAGCCCUGGGAAGGUCAAACCAAUGGAUCGUCAUCAGGAGCGACACGAUGAUCACCCUUCUGAUAUGCAAGGUUGGUUAAGUC